ACUGUUUAAUUAAAACAAAGCAUCGUGAAGGCCCACAGUGGGUGUCAACGCGAUGUGCUCGUGUCUAGUGCUCUGAAUGUCAAAGUGAAGAAAUUCAAUGAAGCGCAGCUAAACAGCAGGAGUAACUAUGACUCUCUUAGACCCCUUGGGUAAGGGGCGGAGGCGUAGUGACCUCUACCUCCUCGCGGUCCUGCCGGUAACUACACUGCUCUGCAAGAGUACGUGGA
rnacentral:ncRNA from 1 species